rfam:Oryza punctata chromosome 5, whole genome shotgun sequence.
CGGUGAAUUACAGGGCGGUUUCUCCUUUGGCACGUACGGAGGCAAGGCAUGCUUUCGUCAUGCACCUGAAAAAUCUCUAGCUAGCCAUACGUGCCAAAGGAGAAUUGCCCUGCGAUUCACCA